UGACAUUCAAAAACCUGCAUAAAAACAUAUGUAAUACUAGUACAGAGUACAGAGUACAGAGUACAGAAUUAUAUCAACAAAUCAGUGGAGACAUUUUAACUAUGGGCCAGUGCAUCAGAAGAUCUAGGUUUCUCAGGAGAAAAUGGAUAUUGUGCAGAAAUGGUGAACAAGACACACAGCAGCCAAGAACCUGGAGAGAGGGAGAAAGUUCAUCUGGACUGAAAUAACUCCAGAAGAAAUGAAGAAGUUCACAGACUGUACAGGAACGUUCAUGGCCAUUUGAUCUAAUCUUCAUAUGAGUGACCCAGAGGAAAAUGAUCAGAAAAAUGGCACCGAGGAUUAUGACCACCUCCACCGGGUCAGACCUCUCAUGGAAAUGAUAUGAAUGAACUGCAAGGCCAUCUACCACCCAAGACAGCACCUUGCAGUCGACGAGAGGAUGGUUGGUACCAAGGCCAGGCUCAGCAUCAAGCAGUACAUGAAGGCCAAGCCAACAAAGUGGGGGCUGAAGUUCUUUGUGCCUGCUGUCAUGAACGGCUACACCAUCGACUUCAAGCUCUAAACUCUGCAAGAGGAGCACUGCCUGGAAGUGUGAGGACUAGUGAUGUGGGCCUGUGUCUGCAGACAUACAGGAAACAGUCACUGGCAAUACCACCAAGACCUCUGCAUGUGAAGGGACUGUCAGAGAGGAUAGAAUUACCCUGUGUGUGGAAAUACACCUGUACAUAUUUUCCAU